GGGGUGCUGUGGGUCUCCCCAGGGUCUGCACUGUGGGCAGCCCCUGCUGAGUGAGCCCUGCCCCCACCAACUACUAGGUCUGGCUGAAUGGGUCUCUGUGUGUGAUGGGCACUCAGCAGGGUGUCCUCUCUGGCCUGGGCUGGGUGCCUGCUCACAGGUCACUGUGGAUUCCGGGAGAUUCUUUCUCCUGGUCCCUCCUGGGGUGCAAACUCUGAGUCUCCCCGCCUCACCCUGAUUUGCUAAACUCACCCAUCAAAGAGGGGACUUGAAAGAGUUUGUGUCUGUGAUUUGGGUAACCAGCAACCACAACACCACAACAGGACUGAAACCUUGGCUCUUGAAAGAGUGGCCAUCCCCGGGCCUGCUCUGAGCUGCUCUACGUGGGUUUGGCCCCACUCGGGGGAUGGAAGGACGUGUGUCCUCGCCCUGGCGGAGGAGACCCAGGAUGGGGAGGCUGGAGCCCUGAGUGCAGAUCUGGGCUCAGAACAGCAGCAGGAAGGGCUGAGUGGCCAGCACUCCAGCCGUGAGUGAUCCUGACUCUGAGAUCAGCUCAGCCGGGGAGGCACCAGGAUGCGGAAAGUAAAGCAGUGUAACCCAGGACACAGAGAGUUUUGUAAAGGCCCCUCUGCCGUGUGUGCGAGGUCACACUUCAGGUUUUGGCAUCAGACUCAUGAGUUACAGACACCCAGUCGUGGAGUCUGCAGCUGCUGUGGAAGGCAACCAGGAGUCGGACACGGACCCUGGGCCCAGGCUGUGCUGACUCAGCCGCCAUCCGUGUCCGGGACUUUGGGUCAGAGGGUCACCCUCUCCUGCACUGGAAGCAGCAGCAACACUGGGGUUAUCAUGUGAGCUGGUACCAAGAGCUCCCAGGAAAGGCCCCCGGACUCCAGACCUUUGAAAAUAGCAAACGACCCUCAGGACUCCCAGAUUGAUUCUCUGGCUCCAAGUCUGGCAGCUCAGCCUCUCUGACCACCUCAGUUCAUGCUGAGGACGACACUGAUUAUUACUGUUUCUCAUGGGCUGACGGCUUGAAAGUUUGCACAGUGCUUCAGGCCAGAGAGAAGGAGACAAAAACCUGCUUCCCCCACAGCCAUGGGGCUCCCAGGG